CGGGGCGUAGCGCAGUCUGGUAGCGCAUUUGACUGGGGGUCAAAGGGUCGCUGGUUCAAGUCCAGUCGCCCCGA
rnacentral:tRNA from 1 species